rnacentral:rRNA from 1 species
AUCAGCUUGUUGGUGGGGUAGUGGCCUACCAAGGCGACGACGGGUAGCCGGCCUGAGAGGGCGACCGGCCACACUGGGACUGAGACACGGCCCAGACUCCUACGGGAGGCAGCAGUGGGGAAUAUUGCGCAAUGGGCGGAAGCCUGACGCAGCGACGCCGCGUGGGGGAUGACGGCCUUCGGGUUGUAAACCUCUUUCAGCAGGGACGAAGUUGACGUGUACCUGCAGAAGAAGCGCCGGCUAACUACGUGCCAGCAGCCGCGGUAAUACGUAGGGCGCAAGCGUUGUCCGGAAUUAUUGGGCGUAAAGAGCUCGUAGGUGGCUGGUCGCGUCUGCCGUGAAAGCCCGCAGCUUAACUGCGGGUCUGCGGUGGAUACGGGCCGGCUAGAGGUAGGUAGGGGCAAGCGGAAUUCCUGGUGUAGCGGUGAAAUGCGCAGAUAUCAGGAGGAACACCGGUGGCGAAGGCGGCUUGCUGGGCCUUACCUGACGCUGAGGAGCGAAAGCGUGGGGAGCGAACAGGAUUAGAUACCCUGGUAGUCCACGCUGUAAACGUUGGGCGCUAGGUGUGGGGGUAUUCCACGG